GCAAACUUGGUCAUUUAGAGGAAGUAAAAGUCGUAACAAGGUUUCCGUAGGUGAACCUGCGGAAGGAUCAUUAUUGAAUAAACUUGGUUAGGUUGUUGCUGGCUCCUCGGAGCAUGUGCACGCCUACUCCAUCUUUAACCACCUGUGCACCUUCUGUAGAUCUGAGAAACUCGAGGAAACUCGGUUUGAGAAUUGCUGAGCGACAGCCGGCUAUUCUUGUCAUCAGAUCUAUGUCUUUAUAUACCCCAUAUGAAUGUAUUCGCAUGUUGUAACUGGCGUUCGUGCCAUUAAAACUUAAUACAACUUUCAACAACGGAUCUCUUGGCUCUCGCAUCGAUGAAGAACGCAGC
rnacentral:misc_RNA from 1 species